rnacentral:tRNA from 1 species
GGGGAAAUGGCUCAGUGGUUAAGAGCACUGGCUGCUCUUCCAGAGGUCCUGAGUUCAAAUCCCAGCAACCGCA